CCUACGGGAGGCAGCAGUGGGGGAUAUUGCACAAUGGGGGAAACCCUGAUGCAGCGACGCCGCGUGGGUGAAGAAGUAUUUCGGUAUGUAAAGCCCUAUCAGCAGGGAAGAAAGAAGACGGUACCUGACUAAGAAGCCCCGGCUAACUACGUGCCAGCAGCCGCGGUAAUACGUAGGGGGCGAGCGUUAUCCGGAUUCACUGGGUGUAAAGGGAGCGUAGACGGCCGUGCAAGCCAGGAGUGAAAGCCCGGGGCCCAACCCCGGGAGUGCUCUUGGUACUGUGCGGCUAGAGUGCGGGAGGGGCAGGCGGAAUUCCUGGUGUAGCGGUGAAAUGCGUAGAUAUCAGGAGGAACACCGGCGGCGAAGGCGGUCUGCUGGACAGCAACUGACGCUGAGGCGCGAAAGCGUGGGGAGCAAACAGGAUUAGAUACCCGGGUAGUC
rnacentral:rRNA from 1 species